CUACGGGAGGCAGCAGUGAGGAAUAUUGGUCAAUGGCCGAGAGGCUGAACCAGCCAUGCCGCGUGAAGGUCACGGCCCUAUGGGUCUUAAACUUCUUUUGUAAGGGAGCAAUAAGGUCUACGUGUAGACUGAUGAGAGUACCUUACGAAUAAGCAUCGGCUAACUCCGUGCCAGCAGCCGCGGUAAUACGGGGAUGCAAGC
rnacentral:rRNA from 1 species